rnacentral:rRNA from 1 species
UUUUUGUCAAUGGGGGAAACCCUGAACAAGCAACGCCGCGUGGAGGACGAAGACCUUCGGGUUGUAAACUCCUGUCGGAGGGGACGAAAGCGAUCGAGGCUAAUAUCUUCGGUCGUUGACGGUACCCUACGAGGAAGCCCCGGCUAACUCCGUGCCAGCAGCCGCGGUAAUACGGGGGGGGCAAGCGUUGUUCGGAAUUACUGGGCGUAAAGGGCGCGUAGGCGGGCGGGCAAGUCUCUCGUGAAAGCCCACGGCUCAACCGUGGAAUUGCGGGAGAUACUGCCUGUCUUGAGUCCGGGAGAGGAGGGUGGAAUUCCCAGUGUAGCGGUGAAAUGCGUAGAUAUUGGGAGGAACACCGGUGGCGAAGGCGGCUCUCUGGACCGGUACUGACGCUGAGGCGCGAAAGCUAGGGGAGCAAACGGG